UACGGGGGGGGCAAGCGUUGUUCGGAAUCACUGGGCGUAAAGGGAGCGUAGGCGGCGUGGUAAGUCAGAUGUGAAAUCCCGGGGCUCAACCCCGGAACUGCAUCCGAUACUGCCGUGCUUGAGGGUUGGAGAGGUAGCUGGAAUUCUCGGUGUAGCAGUGAAAUGCGUGGAUAUCGAGAGGAACACUCGUGGCGAAGGCGAGCUACUGGACAACAUCUGACGCUGAGGCUCGAAGGCUAGGGGAGCAAAAGGG
rnacentral:rRNA from 1 species